rnacentral:rRNA from 1 species
GAUGAACGCUGGCGGCGUGCCUAAUACAUGCAAGUCGAGCGAACAGACGAGGAGCUUGCUCCUCUGACGUUAGCGGCGGACGGGUGAGUAACACGUGGAUAACCUACCUAUAAGACUGGGAUAACUUCGGGAAACCGGAGCUAAUACCGGAUAAUAUAUUGAACCGCAUGGUUCAAUAGUGAAAGACGGUUUUGCUGUCACUUAUAGAUGGAUCCGCGCCACAUUAGCUAGUUGGUAAGGUAACGGCUUACCAAGGCAACGAUGCGUAGCCGACCUGAGAGGGUGAUCGGCCACCCUGGAACUGAGACACGGUCCAGACUCCUACGGGUGGCAGCAGUAGGGAAUCUUCCGCAAUGGGCGAAAGCUUGACGGAGCAACGCCGCGUGAGUGAUGAAGGUCUUCGGAUCGUAAAACUCUGUUAUUAGGGAAGAACAAAUGUGUAAGUAACUAUGCACGUCUUGACGGUACCUAAUCAGAAAGCCACGGCUAACUACGUG